CCCGCCACCCUUAAUGUGCAAUCCUAGUUGUUAAUAUGUGUAAAAUCUGUUAGAAAUGUCUCUAGCUUAAUCUUUCUUGUUGCGAGCACUGUUUGUUUGUCAUAAACAUGCCUAACCUGCGCCUUUCUGCUGUUGACAUUCAUUGUUGUUACUUUGGAGAUGGAUGUUUCCCUGCUCUUUUGCUGUUUUGUUUCAAUUCUGUGAGUUAAAGAUUGAGUUUGGAGAUUUCUAUCAUUUAUUAAAGCGCAGUCAUCAGUUUCAUCUAACUUAAAUACAAACUAGUUGGCAUCUUGUUAGAGCAAGUCUAUUUCCCCUUCUCUUUGCUAAAACGUAUUGUUUUGAAUUAAUAUGAGAAGUAAGUAGGAGAAGUGUUUAGCUAGAUGUUGUUUCCUUUAAGUUGAUAAAGUUGCUUCUUUUGUGUGAGUUCAUGGAAUAGUGUGUUUAGUGUUGAAAGCCACUAGUAUCAAACUUUAAUGAUAAUGUCCUUUCAUGUUCAUGUCUAUAUGAGGAGGUUAGUUUGAUAUUAGUUUAAAUGUCUUGGGAUAUGAACACCAACCUUGUAAAGAAUACAUGUGGAAAAGAAUUUGGCUUUGUUGGUCUUUACUUGCGUUUAUCCCGUAUAUUAGUUUGCAAUGGGAUAAUCAGAUCAUGCCUCCCAGUUUUGACUAAACUGUAUUCCAGCUCUGGUUUCUUUGUUUCAAAUAACUUGAACCUUUGGAAUACUGAAGGGAUUGAAUAUUUAUUAAGAAUUUUGAGGUUUAAUAUUUAUUUGUCUUAAAGUUACUGUUUCUCUCUUGAAAAUAGGUUUUCUGUUAAUAACAUGGGCAUGAAAUGAUUUGUUUCCUUUCUCAAUUUCCACUUUGCUUAACAGACUAGUCUGGAGUCAUUAAAAAUAUUUGAUACUUGAAAGGUUGUUGAAUAAUAACUAACUUUAAUUCUGUCCUUCUGCUUGAAUAGCUAAGUGUCCAGUUCAUUUGUUGUUUUUCUUAAAAGUAUUUCUCUUUUCUAAAACACGCUUGUGUCCUAAAGAACCUUCAAACCAGCAUUUGGUGUGUAUCUUGACUGAAUGUUUUCCUUUGAGAAUUCAGUGAUGUUUUUUCUUCAUUUCGCUUCACUGUUUUACUUUCUUUUCUUGAUAACUAGCAUAAGAUUAAGAUAACAGGUUGUCUGAAGCUAUUAACAUAUACUAGCUUCAGUUUUGGGAUGGUUUAAAUUAUAUUAAUGAGAUUAGAUUUGGUUUUAGGUUUCAACAGUCAUUAUGAUGUUCUUUUAAAUGUGCUUAAGUGUCUGGCAGCCUCGAUAUGCAGUCAUUUAGUUCAAUUAUGCAAUUGGUCCUUGCUUACUGUUUGGUUAGCCGUUAAUGGGGAAUAGUCUGUUUUGAUCAAUUACUUUUGGCUUAUGAUGUUGUUUGGAUCUUUAGCUUUUUUCAGUUUAGCUAACCCCUAGCCAAGAAUGCCAUUUUUGAGAAGAAGCCCUUGUUUUUUUUGAUUGGGAUUUGGCUAAGAGCAAUAUGUAGAAACACAGUUGAGCGUCUAUAUUUCUAGCCAUGAAGGGUCUCUUAAGGUUUAGUUGAGUUUCUUUCGUGUUUUAAUCUUAAUUAAUAAGGAUUCCUCUUUUUUCAUAUAAAUGUGACCUGUAGCUAGUCCUUGUUUAGAGAUAACAAGGAGUUGUCCCUUUUUUUUUAGUACCUGUUAAACCUGAUAGAUUUCGUUGUUUUAUCAUGUUGUACAGUUGUAGGAUUAGUUCCAAGAUGUGUAUUUCCUUAGAUAUUAGUGUGAUUAGCUACUGGUUGUAGCCCUUUUAUAUUGAACAUGUUUUCUCUAAUAGAUAGAUUAACUACUUGAUUUAAAAUGAGAUCAAAAUACCUUACUCUCGAACAUGAUAAGGUGGAACCAGUUAGCUUGACAUUUUGUUUCAUCUUGGAUAAACUGCUACCUAGGCUAGGCAAGGGCUAUCUUAAAAAGUGUGGAAGACAGCUCAAAUUGUGCUUGUUUGAUUGAAAUGAUUAACUUAAGGUUUUUACAAGCAUAAAUCUGUUUCCUGCACAUUUGGCAUGACAUAAGAAACUUCAUAACCUCCCCUCCCUCCUAGUUAGCUACUUUCAUUGUUUGUUAUACCAUGGAAUGACUACAUAUCGAAUUCAAAUCUGGAGUUUGUUCACCAUUAGCUGCAGUUUAGCAUAUUCUUGUUUCCUUGUCUUUACUUUGAUGAUGUUUUAUUUCCUUUGUUAUGAGUGUGUGUGUGUUUGCAAAGCUUAAGAUUGAAGGUUGAACUAAUGUACUCCUUUAAUCGUUGGCUGAUAUAAGAAAUUAAGAAGUCUCUGAUUGUUUUAAGUCCAUUAACUGAAGGAAAUUUGUUUUUUUUUCAAAAAAUAAAAUCGGACACCUUUCCUUUUAAACAUGUUUUAAGUCCCCUAUAAAUCAAACUCUGAUUAUGUCUAGUUAAGGUGCUAUGCCUAAAUACUUACAUCUCCCUUUUGCUCUAAUUUUCUCUUUAGAGCAAAUUAGUAUGACAUUUGAUCUUAACAAAAUGUUAUGUCUUAUUUCUAAGGUUAUGCUUAGUUAGAUGUUUGUCCAUAGGGUACUAGAUCACCUGUUCGAAUUUCUAAGCUAAUGUAAGGAUUUGGAAAACUUUCUCAAAUCUUUGUCCUUAGAGAUAACCUUGGCUUUUUCUUUAUAACAUAACUUUCAUGAAACUGUCCAUGGUAUCACAUCUUUAAAAUAUGAAUAUUACUUUGUUUGAUAUGUUAAAACUUGACUAAGUUUUGACAAUCUUGUGUUGCUACUUUGAUUCAAACUGCUCACUUUAAAACACUCAUCCUUCACCCCUUCUUUUCUUUGCAUGUCUUGGGGAAAUUUCCCAAUCUCAAAUGCUCAUGAGUUACUGUCAAACUAGGGAAGAUCUGUUACACUUGUGAGGCUCUCAAAAUGUUGUAUUUGCUUGAGUUUUCUGUUGUUGUUACUCUGAUGUUGCUGCUGUAUGUUUGAGGGCUGAAAGAUGCUAGACAUUCAAGGAAUGAGUUGAUGUUGUCAACACAAUUGCUGGUGUUUGAGGCUCAAAAUGAUAUACAUUUGGCUGCUAUGAUUAGCUGGUUGUUGUUGUCAUUUUGAGCCAAGUUUAAGGCAACUUUGAGGUCUAAUGUUGUUGGUUAUUAAAAGCAAAUAGUGUUGCACAAAUGGUAUACUUACUGAUGCCUUGAUGAAAUUACUAUUACUCUUAUGCUGCUUUGAUACACUUGUUGUCUUCCCUGCAGUCAUGGCAUCUCGUUAAUUUCUAUACUUGGGUUAAUUGAGUCAAUUUACUGCUGUUAUUUGGCUUGCAAUUGAUGCAUCUUAUGGCUGGUUGGUUGCUGCAUUUUGAGGUUAUAAAUGAUGCAACUUUCUGAGUAAAUUUGCUGGUGUCAUUUGGUUUACAAUUGUUGCGUUAUUAGCAAACUGCUACAUUUGUUUUUGGCCAAAAUGCAUUUCAUUUUAAGGCUAAAAUGAGUUGCAUUUUGCGAGGCCCUUUCAGGCUUAAUUGAAUUGUGCUAUCUUUAAGGCUCUAAAUUUGCAGUUAUUUGGCAGAUGUUCAGUUGCCAUUUGAGCUUGAUAACUGAGCUAUUGUGAGACAGUAUUGAGGGCAAAUAAUUGUUGAUUUUUUUCCUUGCGUGGCUGCAUUUUCGAGCCAAACAGUGGUUGCUCUUCAUGGCUAUAAUAGAUACAACACUUGAGUUAUUGGUUUAGAGCAGUUGCUACAUCUUGAGCUAAAUCGCUAGAAUGUUCCAGUGAACUGCUGCUAGUUGUUGUUCCUAUUAUGGUGUAUGUUUUGAGCUGAAUAGCUGCUGGUUCUGACCAAAGUAUUGCCACACUUUUAAGCAAGUCUAAUGUUCAUUACUGCUAUACAUUUGAGCUAUGGCUGCUGCUGGUGUUUUUGGUGAAAACUUACUGCUUCAUAGCUAUUUUGAAACAGCUGCUUCAUACUGAUAUUUUCAGACAUUACACUUCUGAUAUUAUUCUAAUUUGAAUACGAAACUAUGGUUGGGCCGAUGAGAAAAUUUUAAUUUGAGGCCAUGCAUUGUCCGGAAAGGUUAUCCCUCGGUUUAGGCGUUGAUGACCUUAUAGUAGUAUCGCGAGGUAGGAACGAACAUGCGUUUGGCGAGGCAACUAGAAUGGGCACUAGUCUGCAGCAAAGACAUGUUUCGGAUUCCUUUGCCACAUUCGGAAAUAUGAGUCUGAGCCUUCGUAAUCAAAACUCUCAAAUUUUGAUACGAGUCCGAGGGAUAUUAUUUCUGUUCAUAAACGUCACCCUAUGGGGGUGACGUAUUAUUUUGACUAACUGCUUUUCUUUCUAUUUGUGCGAGGUACAAAUAAAGUGAACCAUGUUUAGCAAAGCUUGAAGAUGAAGUGAAGAAUUGGAUGUUAGAGCUUCGAACGAAAGAACUAGAAGAGCAUAGGCUUGCUAAAGGAUCUGGGCCCAAGGCCGAAAAGCUAAACUUUCGUUCCCUUCCCUUUAUUAUAUGUUUAUUUUGCUUUUUGUAUGAACAUGUAAAAAUGCAUUUGUAUAGAUAUUGAAAUCCUUAUAAGUUGGAACCUAGGAUUUAGGUAAACAUUGUUUCGAAUUGGACCCGAAAGGAAAAUGAAUUGUAUUUAUUUAUUAAAAGUAAUUAAAUUGAAAAGUGUUUUCUUAUACAAAAAAUGAUUAUCUUUAAAGUAUAUUGCAUGAUUUGAAGAGUACGAAAAAGGACUUUUUUGGAACUUAUUGAACUUAAGGUAAUUUUCAAACCUUUGGGGCUCGAAACCCAAACCUUAAGGCAAAUAAAACAGAGAAAUAUACUUGAACUAUAGUUUUGAGGGUUAAGAUGGAUUUGGAGUAGUAUAUGGUUGAAUAAUGAGCUUCAAUGGAUCUAUAAGUAACAAGUAAACACUUUUCUUAACUUAUACGUGUCAAAACCUAUACUAUUCUUAUAGAGGGGAUAUACUCCAUUUAAUUUCAUAUAUAUAAUAAAGAAAUUUAUAAGGAAUAAAUCAUGACAUUUGGACCAAAUGAGUAGAAACUCUACUUGAGAGAAAUCUUAAGUGUGUUUUGGUCCGGAAGUGAAAUGAAUUGAACCCCUUAUAGCAUUUUUCAAAAAGAAAACCAACUUUCCGCUUUAAAGGAUGUUUUUGCCACAAAGUUGGAAUUUAUGAUUGGCAUGACAAGUUUUGCAGAAAAGAAACAUUUUAGCAAAUAAUCACAUUAAUCACACAUUGAAGCUCGUAGGCCAACCGUAUUCUACGGAUCUUUAAUACUAGGGUGCAUAAAACCUUCCCUAGGGGAUCACCAGAACCCUUACCUCGAACUUUGGUCUAAAAGGUUUUUACUUAUUUUGGAAAAAUCAUUAAACCCGAUUUUUCUAGUUUUUCCAUAAUAAAUUAGGUGGCGACUCUAAAAAAUACUAAAAUCCAAUUAUAGCACCAACAACGUCGUUGUAACUUUUAUGCCUUACCCGCGUAAAAGCGAAUCGUAACACGUACGGGAAGGUAAGUACAUGAAAUGGACUUAGCAGUUGAACUUGCUGAAAUCAUAGGUAUUCAUUAUUUGUGUCAGUAACAAAGAAAUAUGAACUGCAACGUAUAAAAUUAGGUCAGAUAAAUGGAUUAAAAUCCUAGAUUGAUUUGGAACAACUUAUCUUGCAGAAAUCUGUGCCAGCCAUAAAAUGAGGAGUAUUUAUUUAAAUUAGCUCGAAUAAUAGAAGGCGCGAAAGAAGUAACACUCAACUUAACAAUUUACCAAAAAAUACAUUAUCGCUCCCGUCCGGAAUUUAUCAGUAAGGAUCAUCAUACACGAACUUAACUCUUGCAGCGUACAAUAUGUGAUGGCGCGGCUAAUAUUCUUCAUGAGGAAAUUUGAAAAGGGUAAUAGCUCAUGAGCUGGAUUUGGUGAAAGAAAUUGAACGUUAACCAAUCGUAGAUCCAUCAAGGACAUACAGGUAAAGGCGUUAAACUCGGGUUUUAAUUAAAAGUAUCAAUUUUAGCGAAUUCUGAAGUACCACUUCAGCGAUCUGAAGGAACGCUGGAGCGGCACCGCUGAAGCGAUAAGACAGCCGCUAGAGCGGCAGUCGCAGAUUCAGAAAAAUAAAAGGGUCAAUCACCUUUCCACUUCCCCACUUCCUCCAUUACACUCCCCAACAACAAACGUCUGCCCUUCCAUCUCCUACUACACCACAACUCCCCAUCUUCCUCUUUAACACAACAGAAGUCUGCUUUACACCCUAAGUCUCACUACACCAACCCAAACCCACAAUCUCACAAGUUGCUCAAAAAAAAAAAAGAGAAAGAAUUUCAAGGCAACACUCAAUAGGAACAAAUCUCGUUCAAAAUUCAAAUAACAGGUAAGAUAUCAUUUCCCUCAACUUGUAGAUAGAUAGUAGAACCAGAAUUUCGAAUAAAUAUGCUUAGAAAGACCGGAUUUGUAACUCAAAAGUUGGGAUUUUUGGGUUUUGGUUGAUGAACUUCAUGAGUGUUGAUCAACUGGAAUACACAACUUGUCUAGCCUUAGAAUAAUCCUUAUAUCGAAUACUGCGUAGUUAGUGCACACAUUUGGGUUGGGAAACUUGAACAGAGUAAAGAAUUUUUUGCUUUGAAAAAGGGUGUUGGCUUUCAUCGAAUUUGGGGUGUUUGUUGCAAGAAAUUGUUUUUCCAAAGGUUGUAAACAUCAUGCAUGCUUGAUAUCUGCUCGAUCUGUACCUAAAAACAAGUUUUCGAGUCAAAAAUCAAAGUUGAAAUUUUGAAAAAUUUUGGGUUUUUCGAAGAAGACGAGACCGCUGCAGCGGCUUGAUAACGACUACAGCGACCCCGUUGUGGCGUUCAAGCCUGUGCAGCAACGGUGUUGGUAGGGAUUGCAUAUUUUAGCUACAGCGGUAUCUGUGCCCACUAUUUUAGCACCGCUACAGCGGUCUGAGUGACCGCUACAGCGGCCCCUGCAACAUCAGGGACCAGAAACUACAGCUUAAAUUUUCUGAUACGUUGGUCGUUUUGCGGAGUUAUUUCCACCGUAACAUACUAGAAUUGAUACUGAACUUGGGUGAAAUGAAAUCUAACGCGUUUUAAUCUCUUUUGCAGGUAAGAUGGCUCAAGAUUGAGAAGAAGUACCACAAGACGAAGAGGUUCCCACACAUGAGAAGCUUCCCACCCCCCAAAGCCAACACUUACACUUGAGCUAGAUGUCUAUGCCCUUACUGUUAGAGCGGGUUUUCGAUAUGACCAACAUUGACAAACGCGCCCCGGGCUUCCUCGAGAUAUUAGUCAGAAUCAAGUGGACUCGCUUAGUCAGGGAUCCCGGUGACUGCAAUGAAACGUGUGUGAGGGAGCUCUACGCGGUGUUGCCUACGGUUGAUUAGAAUUCUUCCGAGUCAGAGAUCAUUAUAAGAGGUGUUCCAGUGAAAGUGGGGAAAAGAAUAAUUAACUGGGUAUAUAGACUAGAUAAUCAUCCAGAGGAGCCCUUAACAGUCAAGGCACCUGAGAAGAAUUCGGUGUGGUUGGCUUCCAAAUUUGUACAUGAGGAUGACAUACGGCUAGUUCCUUGGGUUCAUGGCAAGGUCGCGAUCCGAAGCGAUCAAUUUACUGUGGAGGUGAAGAGAUGGUUGAAUAUUGUUUCCCGCCGGAUUCGUCCUUCUAGGAAUACCUAUGAUGUGACAUUCCCUAAGGCUCUCAUUAUUGCCUGCGUCCAUGCUAAAAUUACGGUGAAUGUGGGCUAGCAAAUAAUUGAUGAGUUAAAGGAGUUUUUGAAGGUUGUUGUAGCAAGCUUGAUGUUCCCGUCGCUGAUCACUUCCUUAUGCAGGAGGGCUAAGGAUCCCAGGGAGGAUGAUGAUGAUUGGUUCUGCUCCGAUGCUCCGUUUCAUCCACUACGAGUGAAAGGUCAUGCUACCGCGGUCAACAGCAGGAAGAAAAGGAACGUGGAUGAUGCAGGCGAGGGAGGGAGUGAAGCGGGAGCCGAUGCUGAGACUGGGAUGGGGCUGAUCAUGAGGCUGGGGUUGAAAUCCCUCGUAUCCAGGGCCCUUUUGAGCUCAUGGACUCAAGCUUUGAUGAGGUGAUCUCAAUGUUUUAGAAGAUGUCCAUGCCUUCUGAUGGGUCUAGUUUAUCAAAAGCUGCUGCGAGUUUCACCACUCAGGAAGACAUAAGAGUUGCCUUGGAGGAAGGAGCCUUGGUUCAUCAACUUGAUCAUAUAGUCAAGUGAAGAAGAUUGAGUAAGAAGAUUUUCGACGAAACGGGGAGUGAGCUUGGAUAGGCGUGCAAAGCUCAAAAAGGUACCGACGACAGGUUUGCUGAUCCGUCCGCUUAGGAUCUCAUUCUGCUAUUUUUGGAGCGCUCUUUUAUUCAGAGCCAUUUUUUGGUAUAGUCUGUCACUUCUAUAUAUGUAUAUUCUCGUGCAUGGGUACGGCGGGGCCCUGUCCCGUCAUAUUAUUCUGUCGGUCUGUUAGAGGUCUGUGGACAUGUUUGUGGGUUGGGAUCUUUCUGUACAGCUGCGUGUAUAUGUUGUGUUUGGGCGAUCCCAUUCGCCGCGGCGGCCGGUCCGCAUAUAUUUAAAUGUUACUCUGUUGGCCCUGUGUGGCCUUUGUUGGUAUUUUCUGCGUGCAGGGUAUAUGGGAUAGUCCGUAAAACAAAGGAAACUCUGCCGAAAUUUUUCUGGAGAUUAUCUAAAUUGGAACUAAAGCCUUGUCGGCUUCUGCUAUAUACUAGAAUGUGAUUGAGUGCCCAGAUCGGGCACUGGUCACGGCCUACGGGGUUGGGUCGUGACAACUUUGUUACCCAGAAGAAGAGGGGUAAGUCACUUUCCACCCUACAGACUGCAUACACUAGUUUGGCCAAGAAUUACGGCGACCUUCGCAUGGACUUUGACAGAGAGAAAGCAAAGAACAGGUCUCGUGACAAGCUUCACAUCAAGCCUUGGAUGGGUAUCAAGGGAAUGUGGAUUGCAAUGUAUCCUAGUAUGCCGAUUCCAGUAGAGGAUGACGAUGAUUCGGAGCAAUACUCAUUCGCGAGCGUGGCUCGGGGUAUAGGUGGUCAGGGUGGACUGUGUGAUGAUGGCGGCAGCGCUGAUGAUGAUGAUGCGAUGAGCCAGAUCAUGGCUUAGAGGCUCUCCCCCUUUUAUGAAGAUAUUUUUGGUUGCCCUUGUAGGGCUUUUUUACUUUCGAACAAUUUCUGUUUUGGUUUUCUUUGUUUUGGUUCGAUGUUUGGACAAUCUUUCUUGUUUUUCUAUAUUUUGGGUUGUAAUUUGUCGGACUUGUUUUUAUCGAACUGUUAUGUCCCG